rnacentral:rRNA from 1 species
CGGAGGGUGCAAGCGUUAUCCGGAUUCACUGGGUUUAAAGGGUGUGUAGGCGGGUAGUUAAGUCAGUGGUGAAAUCUCCGGGCUCAACCUGGAAACUGCCAUUGAUACUAUCUAUCUUGAAUUUUGUUGAGGUAGGCGGAAUAUGUCAUGUAGCGGUGAAAUGCAUAGAUAUGACAUAGAACACCAAUUGCGAAGGCAGCUUACUAAGCAAAUAUUGACGCUGAGGCACGAAAGCGUGGGGAUCAAACAGGAUUAGAUACCCUGGUAGUCCACGCCCUAAACGAUGAUUACUCGACAUACGCGAUACACAGUGUGUGUCUGAGCGAAAGCAUUAACGUAAUCCACCUGGGAAGUACGUCCGCAAGGAUG